CAUUCAUUCACAUUUUAAAAUAUUUUCAUUUUACCUGGAUUUUCUAAUACAUUGCUUGGAAAAUCAGGAAAUUCUUAGAGAAUUUUUUUCGACAAACACCUUGUGGGUGUACCUCGGGAGGAAAAUUUUUAAAAUUUUGAAAUUUUAACAUGAAUACGACCCAUGAGGGCGACCUAUUUAAAAUAUUUUAAACUGUGGCAAAAUGGAUCGCAUAAAUUUAUCGAAGAAAAGACGUAAAAGGUUAUGUAUUGCUUAAAUUAAGACUAGUCUAUGUUCUUUGAUCCUCAAGGAUGGUUGAUAGUAUUUCAUAUGUUUGCGUUCGGAAACUAUCUGCAUUCGAAGUGAAAUCUGCCUUUACCGCUAUUCAUUCUACUCUACUAUAUCCUCAGGAUGGUAUUUCCGAACGCAAUUUAGAUGUUGUGUGUUAUGUUCAUUGUGUCGAAAAAAUAACUAUAUAUGAAUUGCAAUAUUUACAUGAAAUAUAUAUGAAUUUUGAUAUGAAAUUGUGACGGCUUAAUGACAUUCGGUUUUACAGGUUAUUCGGUUUGAAUCGGCCAAAAAGAAACGAAAGACUUGGGGAUACUUUGUUUCUUUUUCAUGUAUUUGUUUGUAUGUAUUUGUACCAUGUUUUUAUGCAACAAUAUUUUAUUAAGAAAAUGUUUUAUUGUCAUUUAUAAAUUGUACUUAAUACUGCUUCUUGUUUCUCAAAUUUGUCGGCUUCAUUUAUUUCUUGUCUUUAUUUAAUCUUUAUUUAUUUUUUAUUUAUUCUGAUGCGGAUUAAGCGGAUUGUACGAAUAUGGAAUUACCAAGUACAGUCGCGUUAUUUUAUUCGGUGCAUUUGGAAUUUUGCUGAAAUCGAUGCGUACUUAUGGACAAACGCGCGAACAGUCGUUACAAUCGUCCAUUAUCUCGUCGUGUUCCGUGUGAGAAAAAAUAUCCACACAUUAUAUCCAUACAUACAGUUUACAUCUACGAUAACAUCUACGAUAUAUUUUCUAGGAAAGCGAUAUGUACUUAUGUGUCCAUCGCAGCGCAUACGUGCAUAUGUAUACACAUAAAUUAAUGUGUAGCAUAUAUUUAUAACAUAUUUCGAUGAAAAGAGAAUCUAUGUGGGAAAUAUCGUUGAAGAAUUCGGAGAAUCGAGGUGUUCUCUCGUAGGCCUAAUUAUGUUUGUGUGAGUGCUAUUUGCCCCAAUACAAUAGACUGUAUUAUCUUACACCUCUCACCUCUUUGCACCCUCCGCCACUUACUGUCCGCCGACGAAUAUAGACCGGUUUCGCGUGUUCGGCACGUGUGAUCACUCGUGUCAGGAGAUUAACCUCGGAGAGCGCGCGAUUAUGUCCCGCCGUCAUUGCAGGUGUAACGUUCUCGCAACGUUAGAAAAUCACCGAGUCGGCAAAUUGUGUUCCCCUCUAUGUCGGCUAUUUCUCGCGCGAGAAAAGAAAUCGCCGGUGGGUGCGACUAAUCGGCAGGAUUUCGGAUUUUUCAGGGGGGAAGUACCCGACGAGCGCGCUACAUAGGUACGGCAUGAGCCGGUCGGUCCGUAAGAUCCAGCCGCAGCGACCUCCCUCGCAGCAGGUGCACAUUUGCCCGAAGUGCGGCAGAUCCUUCAAUUGGCGUUACAAUCUUCAGCAUCACCUCAAGUACGCGUGCGGUCAGUCGCCGCGUUUCAACUGCCCGUACUGUCCCUUCCGGACGAAGCACACGUCGAACGUGCGGGCCCACGUGCGCAGGAAGCAUCCGGACCGCGAGGUCUACGUCGUCGACAUCCUCAGCUGGCAGCAUCGGGCGGAACCGACGCUCGCGUGAGAACCUCGCCUCGGCUACCGUCGCCGGAGCGUCCACGACGACGAUGACGAUCGCAACCUGCCCUUGCUAAGUUCACGGUGUCGCAUACGCGUCGUCGCGGUUCAAGCAACGAGGAUAUAGCUGGCAAUACGCAAACAGGGCUACCGCCUUCGCGUCGUCGGGCCAGCACACGGCGAAGUUUCCCUGCGGCAAUUGCAACAGCGUGUUUAGCAUGAAGCACAACCUGCAAUAUCACCUGAGGGUCGAGUGCGGCCAAUCGCCGAGGUUCAAUUGCCCGUAUUGCUUGUACAGGACGCGGCACCCGUCGAAUGUGCGCGCCCACGUGCGCCGUAUACAUCCCGGUAACGCGGUCUACGUGGUGGACAUUUGCAAGAAUGAAGUCCCGCAGUUCUCUUGAGCGGUCCUACGCCCCACGCACUCUCUCACUCGUUAUGUUUGUGUUUGACGAAAUAUAGAUAUAUUUGUGUACAUUGCGAGCUGAAACGCGAGAUACCACGAGUGUGCAUGUUACUUACUUUACUUACCACCGUUACGUCUCUGGAGUGUUUCGGAUCGUGCAGUCACUUGCGUUUCUGUUCUCCUUUCUUUGUUAUUUUCUGGACGCAUCGUCUUGGCAGCGCGGAUGAGUACCUAUGGCUUCUCCUUGCGUAUGUCGUGGUCGAUUGUGUUCGUCUCGGCUGUUUGAGGCCACGAAGUUUGAGUGAGGGAAAUUUCGUUGUCGUCUCGUCUGUGGGAGAGCUUAUUGGGUAUGGAAGCUUGUGAUCUGAUUCGGAAGUUCGAAGUGCUGAGGACACUUGUGCGUGAACGGAAGAAAAUCAUACUUUACGUAUCGUUACAUACAUAAAUCAUCAGGAUUUAAUCGAUCGGUUUCAUUGAUACGCGACCUUGAUGCGAAGAAAAUGAACAUCUUCGUUCGUUCAAACGAGAUGUAGAUUAAAAGCUUAAGCAAAUUUUGGUAGAACCGAGUUACUAAGGGAAACACGUCUAUUGAUAAGAUGAAGAGGGUAAAUCUUCGAGACGUUGCAAGACAAUUUUAUAAUUCGACGAAAUAUGUAUCGCUGUGAGAACUCUAAAUUUUACCUACUAAAAUUGGUAUCUUUUUAUGUUUUUUAUGUAAACGUGACUAAAAUGCUAUUACAUUAAUAAAUAUUCGUAUUUCA